rnacentral:rRNA from 1 species
UACGUAGGGGGCAAGCGUUGUCCGGAUUUAUUGGGCGUAAAGAGCGUGUAGGCGGUUUGGUAGGUCCGCUGUGAAACUCGAGCUCAACCUCGAGACGCCGGUGGAAACCAUCAGACUAGAGUCCGGAAGAGGAGAGUGGAAUUCCUGGAUGUAGCGGUGAAAUGCGCAGAUAUCAGGAAGAACACCCGUGGCUAAGGCGGCUCUCUAGUACGGUACUGACGCUGAGACGCGAAAGCGUGGGGAGCGAACAGG